rnacentral:tRNA from 1 species
UGCGGCAUGGUCUAGUGGCUAGGAUACCUGGCUCUCACCCAGGAGGCCUGGGUUCGAUUCCCGGUGUCGGAA